rnacentral:rRNA from 1 species
AUUAGAUACCCCACUAUAACUUCAGGUCUUACCUUUAAUUUUAGAGAGUAAAGAAUUUUUAAAACUAAUUAACAUGGCGGUUAUAUUUCCCAGUCAGAGGGGUGUGUAUGUAAACGACUUUACACGAAAAUCUUACCUAAAAUAUUAUUAAUUAUGACCCCAUUUUAUGGGGGUCAAUAAUGUUAAUUUUGUACACCUCCGUCGGAAGGAUAUUUCGAAAGAUUUGUCCCAAGCACUUUCUUUCACUUAAUGAAUUUUGUUUGUUGAAUUAAGUAAACAGCAAGGGUAAAUUAUUUUAGAAAAGUAAGGUAAUAAGUCAGGUCAAGGUGCAGACUAUGUUUAGGACAAAUACGCACUUUUUUAAAAGUUGAAACAAAGAUAAGUUUGAAAUAGUUCUUUGUGAUGAAUUUGAUAGUAAGGGGGUUUUAUUAUAACUUUCUGAAAAGGUAAAAAAUAAUGCACACAUCGCCCG